rnacentral:rRNA from 1 species
AGAGGUGGCGAGCGUUGUUCGGAAUUACUGGGCUUAAAGGGCGAGUAGGCGGUAGAGCAAGUCUGAGGUGGAAUCCUAUGGCUUAACCAUAGAACUGCCUUAGAAACUGCUUUACUUGAGUCAGUGAGGGGAGGGCGGAAUUCCUGGUGUAGCGGUGAAAUGCGUAGAUAUCAGGAGGAAGGCCUGUGGCGAAAGCGGCCCUCUGGCACUGUACUGACGCUGAGGCGCGAAAGCGUGGGGAGCAAACAGGAUUAGAUACCCUGGUAGUCCACGCCCUAAACGGUGGGCAUUAGGUGUAGGGCUCGUAAGGGUUCUGUGCCGAAGGGAAACCAUUAAAUGCCCCGCCUGGGGAGUACGGCCGCAAGGUUG